GUUGGUUGGACUCGAACGUCCACAGGAGACGGAGAGGGAGAGGGAGAGGGAGAAAAGGGUGGACAAUCGUCAACCAUCGCGAUCCACCGGCCUCCAUCCUCCGCUGCGCGAUCGAGUGGUUGGUCAAGGCGAGCGAUGUAGCAUCCACCUUCGAUCUUGGCCGUGCUCCCACCUCGACCCCAAAACUGAUCGGUGCCAGCAUUGGCCGGCGGCGGCUCAAAACAACCAACCGACUUCCACGGCAGGCUGUUUUCCAGCAAUUUGAAGUGGUGGAUAUGGAAGUUCUGACAAACUGAAGAUGCAGCAGAACAUAAGCAGGUUCACAAGUUAGAAAAGCUUCAUAGAUCAACCUGCUGGUAAGGUUGAAAGCCCUUUCCACUUUGUCCUCCCAUCCAUUGUCUGUUCUCCCCUUAUCUUGUAAAAGCCUCUUGAUCAUUUUCAUCCAGCACUUUCAAAGGGGUAUGGUGCAUCGUCUGGAAGGUCAAACUGUUACAAGAUCAAAACUAGUUGAAACAGCCACACUUCUUAUUUCUGGGCA